rnacentral:lncRNA from 1 species
GGCUGUGACCGUCUAUGACAAGCCAGCAUCUUUCUUUCAAGAGACCUCUGGACCUGCAGCACCAACUCUUCAUGAAGCUGGGCGGCACGCACUCUCCGUUCAGGGCCUGAACCUGAGGACCCAGACACGGAGCGGUCGGCCUUCAUGGAGCGGGAUGCUGGGAGCGGGCUGGUGAUGCGCCUCCGCGAGCGGCCAGCCCUGCUGGUCAGCAGCACAGGCUGGACAGAGUUUGAACAACUGACUCUUGAUGGACACAACCUUCCUUCUCUCGUCUGUGUGAUAACAGGCAAAGGGCCUCCGAGGGAGUAUUACAGCCGCCUCAUCCACCAGAAGCAUUUCCAGCACAUCCAGGUCUGCACCCCUUGGCUGGAGGCCGAGGACUACCCCCGCUUCUAGGGUCGGUGGAUCUGGGUGUCUGUCUGCACACGUCCUGCAGUGGCCUGGACCUGCCCAUGAAGGUGGUGGACAUGUUCGGGUGCUGUUUGCCUGUGUGUGCCGUGAACUUCAAUUUACAUGAGCUGGUGAAACAUGAAGAAAAUGGCCUGGUCUUUGAGGACUCAGAGGAACUGGCAGCUCAGCUGCAGGUGCUUUUCUCAAACUUUCCUGAUCCUGCGGGCAAGCUAAACCAGUUCCGGAAGAACCUGCGGGAGUCGCAGCAGCUCCGAUGGGAUUAGAGCUGGGUGCAGACUGUGCUCCCUUUGGUUAUGGA